rnacentral:rRNA from 1 species
AGAGUUUGAUCCUGGCUCAGGAUGAACGCUAGCUACAGGCUUAACACAUGCAAGUCGAGGGGCAGCAUGGAAGUUUGCUUGCAAACUUUUGAUGGCGACCGGCGCACGGGUGAGUAACACGUAUCCAACCUGCCUCAUACUCGGGGAUAGCCUUUCGAAAGAAAGAUUAAUACCCGAUGUCAUAGUCCUACCGCAUGAUGGGAUUAUUAAAGAAUUUCGGUAUGGGAUGGGGAUGCGUUCCAUUAGUUAGUUGGCGGGGUAACGGCCCACCAAGACAACGAUGGAUAGGGGUUCUGAGAGGAAGGUCCCCCACAUUGGAACUGAGACACGGUCCAAACUCCUACGGGAGGCAGCAGUGAGGAAUAUUGGUCAAUGGACGAGAGUCUGAACCAGCCAAGUAGCGUGAAGGAUGACUGCCCUAUGGGUUGUAAACUUCUUUUAUAUGGGAAUAAAAUGUUCCACGUGUGGGAUUUUGUAUGUACCAUAUGAAUAAGGAUCGGCUAACUCCGUGCCAGCAGCCGCGGUAAUACGGAGGAUCCGAGCGUUAUCCGGAUUUAUUGGGUUUAAAGGGAGCGUAGGUGGAUUGUUAAGUCAGUUGUGAAAGUUUGCGGCUCAACCGUAAAAUUGCAGUUGAAACUGGCAGUCUUGAGUACAGUAGAGGUGGGCGGAAUUCGUGGUGUAGCGGUGAAAUGCUUAGAUAUCACGAAGAACUCCGAUUGCGAAGGCAGCUCACUGGACUGCAACUGACACUGAGGCUCGAAAGUGUGGGUAUCAAACAGGAUUAGAUACCCUGGUAGUCCACACAGUAAACGAUGAAUACUCGCUGUUUGCGAUAUACGGCAAGCGGCCAAGCGAAAGCAUUAAGUAUUCCACCUGGGGAGUACGCCGGCAACGGUGAGACUCAAAGGAAUUGACGGGGGCCCGCACAAGCGGAGGAACAUGUGGUUUAAUUCGAUGAUACGCGAGGAACCUUACCCGGGCUCAAACGCAGGGAGACUGCAAUCGAAAGGUUGCUUUCCACGGACUGCCUGCGAGGUGCUGCAUGGUUGUCGUCAGCUCGUGCCGUGAGGUGUCGGCUUAAGUGCCAUAACGAGCGCAACCCCUGCCGCCAGUUGCUAACGCGAAAGGCGAGGACUCUGGCGGGACUGCCGGCGCAAGCCGCGAGGAAGGCGGGGAUGACGUCAAAUCAGCACGGCCCUUACGUCCGGGGCGACACACGUGUUACAAUGGGCGGCACAGCGGGAAGCCAGGCGGCGACGCCGAGCGGAACCCGAAAGCCGUUCUCAGUUCGGAUCGGAGUCUGCAACCCGACUCCGUGAAGCUGGAUUCGCUAGUAAUCGCGCAUCAGCCAUGGCGCGGUGAAUACGUUCCCGGGCCUUGUACUCACCGCCCGUCAAG